UAAGGAAUAUUGGUCAAUGGAGGCAACUCUGAACCAGCCAUGCCGCGUGAAGGAUUAAGGCCCUCUGGGUUGUAAACUUCUUUUAUAUGGGAAGAAAUGUACUUUUUCUAAAGUGCUUGACGGUACCAUAGGAAUAAGCACCGGCUAACUCCGUGCCAGCAGCCGCGGUAAUACGGAGGGUGCAAGCGUUAUCCGGAUUUACUGGGUUUAAAGGGUGCGUAGGCGGAUGAAUAAGUCAGUGGUGAAAUCUCCGAGCUUAACUCGGAAACUGCCGUUGAUACUAUUUGUCUUGAAUAUUGUGGAGGUAAGCGGAAUAUGUCAUGUAGCGGUGAAAUGCUUAGAUAUGGCAUAGAACACCAAUUGCGAAGGCAGCUUGCUACACAAUCAUUGACGCUGAGGCACGAAAGCGUGGGGAUCAAAC
rnacentral:rRNA from 1 species